AGUGUAGAAAACCAACCAAACCAAACCCAAACCAACAAAACCCUUCACCUAAAACCCGAAGCUACCCAGACCUCAGAAUUUUGGAUGUCUAUUAAGUUGGCGGUCCCCAGCAGUUCUUUAUAGAAGUGUGAAAACAGACUAAUACAAUCCUGAAGCAUUUCAUCAAAGAAUUGUAACAGGAGAUGAAAUAUGGCUUCACCAGUAUGAUCCUGAAGAAAAAGCACAAUCAAAGCAAUGUCUAUCAAGCGGAGGAAGUCAAAGCAAAGCAGACCAGUCAAGAGCAAAGGUUGGAGUGGCUCUGGUGACAACUCACUCUGUUCUCAUGGUCACAAAUCCCUGCUCACUGCUGCCACUGCUGCUGCCACCACAGACCAAGAGCUCCACUUGCACAGUGCUGCUGGCUAAGAAGAAGUUGCUGUACCUGAGCACUGGACCACAUGGACUCACAGAGACUCCCAACCAAGUAAAGGGGUGAUAUGGCUUGUGGAUGUCAACCAUAUUCUCUUCUUGAUCACCUCGCUGCUGGAACAAUGGGCCAUGGUCAGAGUAGAGUGGUCAUGGAGGUUGAAUAGAUGCCAUGAAUGGGUCCAAGAACAUGGACACUCUCUUUCACCAAAAUCAAUUCGGGUCUUGCCACUGUUAAUCACCUAACUUGCCAACAGCAGAGACUAUCGCUGAGUCUUUGAGAUGGCACUGCUCUUGGAGAGAUCAGGCAGCCAUCCAGUGAGAGGUUGACCCCUCUGCUUUGGAGGGGAUGGACAUUCAUCCUUAUCACCAUUGAUACUUGCUCUAGACAUGAGUUUUCCUUCUCUGCCUGAAAUUCCUCUGCCACUACCACCAUAUGAGGGCUUACAGAUUUCCCAAUCCAUCAACCUGCUUCUCACACACAUUAGCUCAGAGUAAAGGACUCAUUUUAUGGCAAAGAAUGUAAAAUGAUGGGCUCAUUGGUCUUAUUAUAUACCAUGCCACCCAGAAGCAGUCAACCUAGUGGAAUGAUGAGCUGGCCUGUUGAAAGCUCAGCUAAGGUGCCAGCUCAGAGAUGACACCCUGUAGGGUUGGAAGUUGGAGCACUGCUUUCCAGGAUGUGAUACAUAUGCUGAAUCAAUACCAAUCUAUGGUUCAGUGUCCCCACAUAACUAGAAUAUAUGAGUCCAGGAACCAAGGGAUAGAAGUAGAAUUGAUCCCUUCAGUUAUCACUCCCAGGGACUUACUUGUGGAAUUUGUAUCUUACUGUUCCUGCAAACUUAAAUUCUGCCAGUUUAGAGGUCUAAGUUUCCAGGAAGUAAAUGCUUUCUCCAGUGGAGGUGGGAAAGGCUCCAGUGAACUGGAAGUUGUGACUAUCACUCAGCUGUUUGGGGCUCCUCAUAACAGUGGACCAGCAGGCAAAGGAAAGAGUUGCCUUAUGGCUAGA
rnacentral:lncRNA from 1 species